rnacentral:rRNA from 1 species
AGGGAAUAUUGGACAAUGGGCGAAAGCCUGAUCCAGCCAUGCCGCGUGAGUGAUGAAGGCCUUAGGGUUGUAAAGCUCUUUCGGCGGGGACGAUAAUGACGGUACCCGCAGAAGAAGCCCCGGCUAACUUCGUGCCAGCAGCCGCGGUAAUACGAAGGGGGCUAGCGUUGUUCGGAAUCACUGGGCGUAAAGCGCAUGCAGGCGGAUCGCUAAGUCGGGGGUGAAAGCCCGAGGCUCAACCUCGGAACUGCCUUCGAUACUGACGAUCUUGAGUCCGGGAGAGGUGAGUGGAACUGCGAGUGUAGAGGUGAAAUUCGUAGAUAUUCGCAAGAACACCAGUGGCGAAGGCGGCUCACUGGCCCGGUACUGACGCUGAGAUGCGAAAGCGUGGGGAGCAAAC